rnacentral:rRNA from 1 species
UGACCAUGAGACCGAUAGCGAACAAGUACCGUGAGGGAAAGUUGAAAAGAACUUUGAAGAGAGAGUUCAAGAGUACGUGAAACCGUUUAGGGGUAAACCUGAGAAACCCAAAAGAUCGAAUGGGGAGAUUCAUCGUCAGCUCAUUUUGUAUAUAGAUUAGUUAUGAUAUGGGUUACUACUUGUAGUAUUGCCUGUACAUUCUUUUAUAUUUAAUUGCAAGAUGUUGUCGGCGUGCACUUCUCCCCUAGUAGGACGUCGCAACCCGUUGAGUGUCGGUUUACGGCUCAAGUUGGUAGCCUUUAAUUUAUUUAUAAAUUAAAGACCCUUGAUGUUUUCUAACUGGCUGCUCGGCGGUAUUCGUAUGGUAUUAGGCCGCAUAUAUAUGCGUUUAUAUCUGUCGCAAGCGCGGUCAAUUUUUGGUAGUACGGACCUAGUGCCGUCGCUAUAAUUGAUCAGCUGUUGGUUGUACGGUAUUCUAUAACUGGCUUAUAAAUAUAUAUACCGGUUUGCGAUGCUACUGCUUUGGGUACUUUCAGGACCCGUCUUGAAACACGGACCAAGGAGUCUAACAUGUACGCGAGUCAUUGGGAUUUAAAAAAAAAUUAAACCUAAAGGCGUAAUGAAAGUAAAGGUCGUCCUUGUGUCGAUUAAGGGAGGAUAAUUUAUAUUAUGAUAUAAUUUCGCACUCCCGGGGCGUCUCAUUCUCAUUACGAGAAGAGGCGCACCUAGAGCGUACACGUUGGGACCCGAAAGAUGGUGAACUAUGCCUGGUCAGGAUGAAGUCAGGGGAAACCCUGAUGGAGGUCCGUAGCGAUUCUGACGUGCAAAUCGAUCGUCGGAACUGGGUAUAGGGGCGAAAGACUAAUCGAACCAUCUAGUAGCUGGUUCCCUCCGAAGUUUCCCUCAGGAUAGCUGGCACUCGUUUUUCAACGAGUUUCAUCUGGUAAAGCGAAUGAUUAGAGGCCUUGGGGCCGAAACGACCUCAACCUAUUCUCAAACUUUAAAUGGGUGAGAUCUCUGGCUUGCUUGAAUUUAUGAAGCCAUGAGAUUUUUAAUUGAAUCAGAGUGCCAAGUGGGCCAAUUUUGGUAAGCAGAACUGGCGCUGUGGGAUGAACCAAGCGCUGAGUUAAGGCGCCCAAGUCGACGCUUAUGGGAUACCAUGAAAGGCGUUGGUUGCUUAAGACAGCAGGACGGUGGCCAUGGAAGUUGGAAUCCGCUAAGGAGUGUGUAACAACGCACCUGCCGAAGCAACUAGCCCUGAAAAUAGAUGGCGCUGAAGCGUCGCUCCUAUACUCUGCCGUCAAUGGCAAGUGAAAUGUAUAUUUAUUUAUACAUUAUGAAGCUCUGACGAGUAGGAGGGUCACGGCGGUGUGCGCAGAAGGGUCUGGGUGUGAGCCUGCCUGGAGCCGCCGUCGGUGCAGAUCUUGGUGGUAGUAGCAAAUACUCCAGCGAGGCCCUGGCGGACUGACGUGGAGAAGGGUUUCGUGUGAACAGCCGUUGCACACGAGUCAGUCGAUCCUAAGCCCUAGGAGAAAUCCUAUGUUGAUGAUGGUGUUGCUUUUAUGAUAUAUAACAAUAAAAAAAUGAAAUAAAUAUAUGUAUUAAUUGUUACACACCCGUUGGGCGAAAGGGAAUCCGGUUCCAAUUCCGGAACCCGGCAGCGGAACCGCAUACAAUUCGGGCUCUCGUAAGAGUGUUCGUCGGGGUAACCCAAAAUGACCUGGAGACGCCGUCGGGAGAUCCAGGAAGAGUUUUCUUUUCUGUAUAAGCGUUCGAGUUCCCUGGAAACUUUUAGCAAGGAGAUAGGGUUUGGAACGCGAAGAGCACCGCAGUUGCGGCGGUGUCUGGAUCUUCCCCUCGGACCUUGAAAAUCCAGGAGAGGGCCACGUGGAGGUGUCGCGCCGGUUCGUACCCAUAUCCGCAGCAGGUCUCCAAGGUAAAGAGCCUCUAGUCGAUAGAUUAAUGUAGGUAAGGGAAGUCGGCAAAUUGGAUCCGUAACUUCGGAAUAACUAUUGGCUCUGAGGAGCGGGGCGUGUCGGGCUUGGUCGGGAAGUGGGUUUGGCUAACGUGCCGGGCCUGGGCGAGGUGAAUGGAUCAGUAAUGUUUCAGAAUCCGAGCUCGGUCCCGUGCCUUGGCCUCCCGCGGAUCUUCCUUGCUGCGAGGCUUCUGUGAUGCUUCAUUGUGUUGCAGUCGUUCUCUUCGGCCGCCAUUCAACGCCCAGCUAAGAACUGGCACGGACUAGGGGAAUCCGACUGUCUAAUUAAAACAAAGCAUUGCGAUGGCCCUCGCGGGUGUUGACGCAAUGUGAUUUCUGCCCAGUGCUCUGAAUGUCAACGUGAAGAAAUUCAAGCAAACACGGGUAAACGGCGGGAGUAACUAUGACUCUCUUGUCGGUGUCGGACGCAUGAUUAAUGCUCGUGUGCCUUUUGCAAUUUUUUGUUGGUUAAAAGUGGUUGAUUCAGUUUGAAAAGUGGCCUAAAAUUUAAACUCGCCGUGCUUGUCAUUUUUGUGCAAUUAGUUCUUAUCCAAAUGAAGUGUACAGAGUGUAAUUAAUGGAUUUCAUUAGUGCUGUGUUUGGCUUGUGCACGCUCCAAAUCACUACGUAUGUUCAGCCAUUGUGAUGACGUAUAUAAUGGCCCCUUAUCAUUGGCGCCAUCUGGCUUAGUGAAUUAGCAUACAGUUACCUACCACGAGUGUUAUCCUUUCGGUAUAUCUGUUCUAUCGACUGUGUGCUUUACCGAUCGCGGUCGUUACCAGCAAUAGUAAACAUAGACAAAACCAGCGCCACCUGGUGUCCUGAUUGGAAAUCAUUAAUG